GCCCCCGCCGGCUCGCCGGGAGGGCAGCUGCGGCGUUACGGGUAGGUAGGUAGGGAGGUACGUGGUCGGAAACCGCCGACGGGAACGCUGCGGAACGCGGCAGGGCGCGACGCGAUUAAAAACAUUGCGUCUGUGUGCCGUUCCCGCGGCGGGGGGGGAUCGCGAACGAGCAGGUUUUGUUUCCCGAAUCGGUAUUUGACCGAGCCGAUAGAUUCCCGAAAAGUGACAGGGACUUCUUAACGCCCGAAAGCGGUGAAGCCUUUCCUUUCCCUCCCGAUCCCGCGGCGAUCCCGCCGUGUAACGCAGUGCCCUCUAACACCACAAUGCGGCAAUGACGGUGCUGCAUUUACCGCGCUUCUCUGGCUCCUGCCCGUCAGCUGGAGCCGCGUCUCGCUGGGGGGGACCGGGCAGGGCUCGGCGGGCUUGUCUAUCAGCGGCAAGGGAGACAGGGGUGGCUCAAGGGCAGAGUUGCCUUUGAAAUAACAUUGGCGAUGUGGUUAAACCUCUGUGCGCGGAGGUGCGCGGUAGUUGAGUGAUAUCACAGGCAGAACUGUUAUUCCAGCCCUUGCCUAUCUUUCAGACUUAUUUGUUUUAGACAGAGGGUUAUUUAAGUUCCAAGCAGCAGCCAUCACGGUAACCUUAUGUCGUCCCAUCAGCCUUUGCCUGCUCCUCCACUAAUUUCAGCAUUUCCCUCCCAUCUGCCCUUCUCAUCACUGAUCUGCCUCCAGCCUUCUCCCAGAGGACAGCCUGGUUUGAGGACAUCGAGAGCUCUGGAUCAUUGGGGAUGAAUCCCAGAUCCUAUGUAAGGAUACUGGCCAGCCCAGCCAACAUCUGCCCUCCCUCCACAGCCCAAAACGCUCUUGCCAGAUGGUGUUCAGACUGAGAGUCAUCAGCAUCAACUGUCCCAAAGACUGCAGUUUGCAAGCAGCUGCCUUCUUCUAGGAGGCCCUUCAAAAGCAGGAAAAGGACUGACAUUUUCUGUGAUGCUGGUGGUCUGUUUUACAUGUUCAGGUAAUUCAAAACUUUUGGGAGACGUUAGGUUUACAUCGCACACACUUCACUGGCCUGCCACGUAGGAGGGCAAAGCACGUGGCCUCUGCGGCAGGCAGGCUGAGUAUCACUGCACUAGUGGCAUCCAGAUUAGGGUGUAUUAUGAUUACGUGGACAUUUGCAACUCCCAGCCCCCUUCAUCUUUUUCUCCACAAUACUUCACCAUCAAAAAAAAAAAAAAAAAAAACAGGGAGGAAGGGGAAGG